rfam:Strongyloides ratti strain ED321 Heterogonic genome assembly, chromosome: X
CAUAAGGAUUUUUUAGAAUCCAUAUAUAUAUAUAUAUAUAAAUAU